GGGCUGCUGGCAGUCAUAACAGGGGUGGAAACAACCCAUUGCCCGACGGCCCAGUCCAGUUUUAUUUUCUGUUGGGCAAGCAAAUUUGUAUAUCACACUGUACGGUGUCCAGUUGACUUUCCAAUGUUAAUGAUAUUGUUCAUUUAAAAAAUCAACAAGAAAAUCGGCAGGCACAGUGAAACAAUUA